rnacentral:tRNA from 1 species
GAGGGUGUAGCUCAGUGGUAGAGUGUGUGCUUAGCAUCCACAAGGUCCUGGGUUUGAUCCCCAGUACCUCCA